rnacentral:rRNA from 1 species
AACGAACGCUGGCGGCAGGCUUAACACAUGCAAGUCGAACGCCCCGCAAGGGGAGUGGCGCACGGGUGAGUAACGCGUGGAUAUCUGCCUUUUGGUUCGGAAUAACCCCGGGAAACUGGGGCUAAUACCGGAUGGUUCCUACGGGAUAAAGAUUAAUCGCCAAAAGAUGAGUCCGCGUACGAUUAGCUAGUUGGUGAGGUAAUGGCUCACCAAGGCGACGAUCGUUAGCUGGUCUGAGAGGACGAUCAGCCACACUGGGACUGAGACACGGCCCAGACUCCUACGGGAGGCAGCAGUGGGGAAUAUUGGACAAUGGGGGCAACCUUGAUCCAGCCAUGCCGCGUGAGUGAUGAAGGCCUUCGGGUUGUAAAGCUCUUUUGGCGGGGACGAUGAUGACGGUACCCGCAGAAUAAGCCCCGGCUAACUUCGUGCCAGCCGCCGCAGUAAUAC